rnacentral:tRNA from 1 species
GGCAGCAGUGGCUCAGUGGAGGAGCCUCUGCUUGGCACGCAGAAAGCCUCAGGUUCAACCCCCGGCAGUUCCA